UAAGGUCUUGACAUCCCUUGACAACUCCAGAGAUGGAGCGUUCCCUUCGGGGACAAGGUGACAGGUGGUGCAUGGUUGUCGUCAGCUCGUGUCGUGAGAUGUUGGGUUAAGUCCCGCAACGAGCGCAACCCUUAUUACUAGUUGCCAGCAUUCAGUUGGGCACUCUAGUGAGACUGCCGGUGACAAACCGGAGGAAGGUGGGGAUGACGUCAAAUCAUCAUGCCCCUUAUGACCUGGGCUACACACGUGCUACAAUGGCGUAUACAACGAGUUGCCAACCCGCGAGGGUGAGCUAAUCUCUUAAAGUACGUCUCAGUUCGGAUUGUAGGCUGCAACUCGCCUACAUGAAGUCGGAAUCGCUAGUAAUCGCGGAUCAGCACGCCGCGGUGAAUACGUUCCCGGGUCUUGUACACACCGCCCGUCACACCAUGAGAGUUUGUAACACCCAAAGCCGGUGGGGUAACCUUCGGGAGCCAGCCGUCUAAGGUGGGACAGAUGAUUAGGGUGAAGUCGUAACAAGGUAAGCGUAGCGAG
rnacentral:rRNA from 1 species